rnacentral:lncRNA from 1 species
ACAAGCGCGCACACUAACCUGAUAACUGCGGGGGCGGGCGCUUGCCGAAAAAAAGCUCCUCCGUUACGGACGUGCGCGAGAGCCAACCGGAGUUCGGAGAGCGCACACGAGAUCCAAUGGGGAGCGACCAAGGGCGGCGGGGGCCAAUGGGAGAGUGCGGCACGGUCGGCCAAGGAGGACAGCCCGGUUGGGAACCAGCGAGCUGAGGCGCAGUCGGGACUAGCCGCGGAAGGCGACGGGUGGAAGAGCUGUCGGAGGCUGGAUUCGACGAGCGAGCAAGCGAGGAGGGGGCCUCUACCGCGCCGGGGUGUGCGUGUGCGCGCAUUUGCGAGGACGGUCGGGGAGGAGGACCAGCAAUGGGGAGGGGCUGUUGAGCAGAAAUGUGUGCGGUGGGGUCUGUAUCAAAAAGUGGGUUAAUGGUGGGUGGGUAGGAGCACUGCUGACCCUGAGAUGAAAGGGGUGGGGAUAGAAGGGAGGGAGGGAAGAGGCUAGGGAUGCGAUGGGAGCACUUAAAGGCUGUGGGGCUGUAGAAAUGGAAAGGGCGAAGUUGUGGGUCUGCGUUAAGGGUUAGGAAAUGAACGGAUUCAGGAAGGGAGCGAGGUUAGUUUGGAUUUGGAAGGAGGGCUGCCUGGGAGUCAUUAUGGGAUGGGAAGAAGAUAUAAGUGAUCUGGGAGUUAUUUAAAGCUUAGGAAGCAUAGGUCGUAAUUUCUAAUGCAUGAAACCUGUACUUUAGAGCAGCGGAUGCUCUGAAAUUGAAAAGACGAGGCUAGAUACAGAAUGGGGCUGGGCGUUGACAGGUGGGUUAGAAUUUUUGGCAGGGGAAAUAGUUCAGGGAGGUGUGUUGUGAAAUGAGUUGCUCUGUUGAAAAGAGUUGAAGGAAAUUAGAUAGAAGACUGAGAGUUUCUUGAGAGGGGGGAUAAUUGCGAUGGGGAACUGCUGGACAAAUCCUAGCUCCAUAUUGCCCUAGCAUCUAGAAAUGUGGCGCUGUCUCCUAGAAAUAUAAACACUUCUUUUCCAGUUGCAGGGUGGGUGUGGCUCCUGAAAUGAGAGGGCUGGCUUUGAAUACAGGAGUCAAGUGGGAAAUGAUGAGUAGAAAGAAAGCUUGCAAGAAAGUGACAGUCUUCCCCAUGAUAACAAUAAUUGCUGUCAAAUGUUGAUAGUUUUCAUGGAAUAAAAACUAUCUCAGAAAUAAGAGGUGGGGGCACUUGUUCUUUCUGUCUGGUGAGGAUAGGAAAAGAAGCAAUAGUAGUCAACUGCGAAAAAGGUAGAGCAUGUGUUUAAAGAUUAGGCGGUAUCCUUAUAUGAAUAGUUCAGCAACGGUGUAAGCAAGAGAAUGUGAGGAAAAGGCAGUGUUUUAAAGUUGCUGGUGGUAUUAUACAGUCAGCAGCACUGUUGGGUAUGCAGGAACUGUGCCUUGAAGUGAUGCAAGUAGGUCUAGGCAGAAUUCCUAUUGGGGCAAUGAGCAACAGUAUUGGAAGGUGUUUGUUAAAGUUGGGGCUGAAUGUAGGGCUUGUACUUCGAAAUAAAAUAAUGCAUGCCAGGACUGAGUUGUUUACAUUGAGGGAGAAUUUGGGGGCUGUCAAAUGGGAAUUGCUGCAAGAGAGCUGUAUCUCAACUAUGGUGUCUGAUACAAUAAUUUUUGCAAGUUCCUUUCCCCUGCAUUUCCAGCUAGGGACGAAAAGAAGGCAGAAUCCAUCAGAAGAAAUUUUGAAGCAACGGAAGGGGUGUACUCCGAUGUGACUGCAUUUAGUCCCCUCAUAUCCAGGCUUGUUUGAAAAGAGGUGUGGUUGGUUUGGGAGGGUUGUCUUUUGUUGGCACCCUUGCUGUUGGCCUAUCUUGUUACACUUCUGCUUUCCAAGCAGUGUCACACGUCUCUUCCCUUCCAUUGCACCUCUUGUACUACUCCCCAGAGUGAAGAAGAGAUCUUUUGGUAAUCACUGGGGUAUUUAUAAAAGGAAUGCUUGGUACUUGCAAGCUCACUUUCUUUGGAGGACUUCCAGGACUUGACUUCAAGCUGCAGGUUCAGAAAUAAAGUUCAUGUGGGAAUGCUAUUUAAACAGGGUCAUACUGUUAUGUUAAUUGCUCUUGUCACACUGACGAACCUUCAGGUAUGGACUUGUGUCUCUUCUCCUUCCUCCCAAGGCUUGAAAUCUUGCUCUUGGUCCUCCCAAGCAGCGAGGAGCCUAAUCAAGCAUGAUAAACUAGGAUGCUAAGUUGGAUUUCUUCUUGAAAUCUUAAUGAGUUUCAUAUGUUUAAAAUACUGUAAUGGAUUUUAGUGGAAGGCUGACUUUCUAUAUUUUCACAUGUGAUAAUUCAGGGAAGAUUGGCAGGAUGCAAUUCACCCUUCAAUGAUACCUCUAAAGAACCAAAUAAGUUGUAUCAGUGUUCUUAAGUUGAUCUCUGUGUUACCCUUUUAAUUGUGAAUAUCAGCAUAUUCCAGUGGUAGAACUGUUUUAAAGUUCAAUGGCUCAGUCAUCAUAAAGUGACUUUGGUAUUCCAGCAUUCUCCUUUUCAAGUAGUGCAUCAGGAGAGGUCUGCUGAGCUCUCUGGCUAUUUUAACUGGAACUGGCAUAGUCAACAAGUCAAGGGAGGGAUUUUCUGUAAGACUUCCUAAAGAUCAGUUGACUAUGGACCAUAUCUUUUAUCUAGUCUUGUAGAGAGGUCAGGGGAAGGUCAGCUCGGAGGAAAAGAACAUAAGCCACAAGGACAUGUGGAGUUUGUUGGCAUUUUUAAAAGCCCCAUGAGUGAGCUUCAAGAACCAUGAAAUACACGGCACUUGAGCUCAAACAUUUACUUUGCAUUACAUAGAGUAAGAGAGGUGACAGCCAUGAUUCUAGAGCCAACUGAUUAGAUGACAAGCAACUGCUAAUAUUUCUUUUUUUUUUCCUUUUCAUUAUGCACAUUUUUUUUCUUCUGAGCUGCGCUAAAUAGACCCAACUCUUCUUUCGGUUCCUUCCAUCAGAACUUAUAAUCGCAGUUGUCCCUUGUUUGCAGCCUUCCCUCCUCUGCUUCCUCUUCUCCCCAGAGAGUCCUCCUGAACAGGUUGUGGUGGCUCUUCCUUGGAUGUGCCUGCCUGCUAAUAUUUCUGCCUAGCCUCCUGUGCUUGGGAACCCAAGCUGUAGUGCAGGAUCACACGCAUUACUGCUGCUCUUUCUCAGUUUUCAGUAUGCAAAGUGCUUUAUAGUCUUCAGCUGUUAGGACUAAAGAUUCAAGUGUCCACAUAAUUUAAGUCUUAAAGGAGGAUGGUAUCUGGCAUUGAAUCUCUGAAAAAUGUUAGCACAAAUUAAGCACUUGCAGAGCUGUAGGCAUUCUUGUCUUCCUCCCUGCCCCCGCUUUUCUGUUUUUGCAGGUAUGGGGAAAACAGUGAUCAGAAGAUCACUGUUUUGCAAGCCUUGUACAAUUUCAUAAGGUUCUGCUGUUUUGCCUCUACAACCAGCACUGCGAAAUAACAGCUUUUUGUAAAAGUGUGAUCACACCAAAGUUCAGUGAGAAAUACAAAUGGAAAUGGUUGUUCUCUCCCUUGCUGCAGGAACCCCUGUUAUUCCAAAGGGAAUUAAAAGCACAUACUUCUUACUUUUUUUGGCACUCCCUCCCCCACUGGAGCAUAACGGACUUCAAGGGACAGUGUAUGUACUUUUUCACAACUGCUAAUGCAUUUCAGGCUGCUGCAAGAGGAUAAAGGGAAGAGCUUGUUUUCUAAACUAAGCUGGACUGAGGCAACAGAAUGGGUAACAUAAUGUGGCAUAGGGCAACUUUUCAUGACAACUGUGCAUUUUUUUUCAUAAAAAGCAAAAAAUGUACAGCAUAGUGAUCAUUUUCAGACAUGGAGCAUUUGAUAUUGCACAUGUGUGCACAUGCACAGCCAAUUGAAGUACUUCUAUUAGAGCAUGGUGUAAUCUAUUUUCCUUUUUGUAUUAAAGGAGAAUUUUUAAAUUGUGUUUUUAAAUUAAGGGUUCUAAGCAAAAUAUCUUAAGAUUCUAAUGCGAUAUAAUUGGACUGAAAGACAAGAAAUAUAUCAGUUUCCUGAUUCCAUCUGAAAGUUUAAUAUAACACUCUUUUCAGAUUUAGGGCAAAUGACGUUUUCUAACUUUUAACAAGCAGCUUGUGGGUAUAAACCACUAUCCUCUAGCUUCCAUUUCAGUGGGGUGUGUGGAGGUCUCCUGGUUUGCUUUUGGUAAAUGUACUCCUAUCUGCUGUUGUAUUAGGGCAGCCUUUACUAUGCUGGUUGGAGCUGAUGGAAGCUAUAGUCUAAAACAGUGUUUCCCAUACUUGGGCCUCCAGCUGUUUUUUUGGACUACAAUUCCCAUCAUCCCUAGUUAGCAGGACCAGUGGUCAGGGAUGACGGGAAUUGUAGUUCAAAAACAGCUAGAGACCCAAGUGUGGGAAACACUGGUCUAAAACAUAGAGGGCACCAGGUUAUUGUUCAGCCAUCAUCUGAGGCCCUUCUUUGUGUGCCUCAGUGGGAGGUCUGGAGGGUGGCAACAUGAGAAUGGGCAUUUUCAGUGGUGGCUCUCAUGGAAUGCUUGUCCCAGGGAGGCUUGCCUGGCACCAUCAUUACAUAUAUUUAGUCACCAGGCAAAAGCACUGCUUAUUAAUCCGGCCUAUAGCUUUUAACAUGGCCUUUUUACAUGGGUGGUAUGUUUUAAUAUGGGUUGUUUUAUUUUUGUUUUUGCUGGUUUUAAUGUAUUUAUUUUUUGCUUAAAAUAUUGUACGUCGCUUGAGUUGCUGUGGCAAAAAAAGCAACUAAGUGUCAAUAAUAAUAAUAAUAAUAACAAUAACAACAACAGACAAGCACCACUACUGCUUGUCACCCUUACUGGUGCUCAUGGUGCAGCAUCCUUUCUGUGAUGGCAGCACUCUCACUUCAGAAAAGUCUGUCAAACCAGCUCAGUUUUUAUCACCAACUUUGGUAUUAACAUGGAAGGGGCCUUUCAAGGAGGAUGAUCUGAUGUUGUGUUUGCUGCUUUGUCUUUCUAUUGUUAUAGGGUUGUUGUUUAAGUAUUACCAUUGCUAUAUGCAAUGUAAGGUGUCUAGAACACAAAUUAUUUCUACACAAAGAAUGAAAGCUUUGUAAGAUAACACUAAAUACUUAAUCAAACAAAAAUCUAUAACAGCAUACUCCUGCAAAUAUUUACUCAAAAGUACCACUGUGUUUGUUAAAGGACUUUCUAAUGUUUUUGGAACUGCAGACUAAGUAUCUUGAAAUACCUGUACUUGUUUAUUAGCAGAGAUGCAUGUGUCAUUCAGACUUCAUUUAAAGUUGGUUUUUUUCUUCCCUCUUAUUUUUACAAUCCCAGUUAAUUUUGAAUAUUACACUAUUUUCUAUAUUUUAUGAAGGCAUCCUUUAAUAAAAACUGUUAUUGAAGAGCAUAA